rnacentral:rRNA from 1 species
GAUGAACGCUGGCGGCGUGCCUAAUACAUGCAAGUCGAGCGAACGGACGCGAAGCUUUCUUCUCUGAUGUUAGCGGCGGACGGGUUAGUAACACGUGGAUAACCUACCUAUAAGACUGGGAUAACUUCGGGAAACCGGAGCUAAUACCGGCUAAUAUUUUGAACCGCAUGGUUCAAAAGUGAAAGACGGUCUUGCUGUCACUUAUAGAUGGAUCCGCGCUGCAUUAGCUAGUUGGUAAGGUAACGGCUUACCAAGGCAACGAUGCAUAGCCGACCUGAGAGGGUGAUCGGCCACACUGGAACUGAGACACGGUCCAGACUCCUACGGGAGGCAGCAGUAGGGAAUCUUCCGCAAUGGGCGAAAGCCUGACGGAGCAACGCCGCGUGAGUGAUGAAGGUCUUCGGAUCGUAAAACGCUGUUAUUAGGGAAGAACAGAUGUGUAAGUAACUGUGCACAUCUUGACGGUACCUAAUCAGAAAGCCACGGCUAACUACGAG